CCAGAAUUUUACUGCGGCCCAGACCCUGUUUCGGUUUUCAGCUUGUAUCUGGAGUUAUAUAAGUCAGAAUAAUGCAAACCCAGAUGCGUUGGAAAGCUGAGAACUAUAUCUAAAACUUUCGUGAAGGGUACAACUCCAAAGUAUAUCGUUUUGGUGCUCUAAAUCCAGCUGGGAGUCGAGUCUAAAAAUCAGCCUAGAAUUUCGAGAUUUCAGCUAGCAGAUAGGGAGGAAAUCUGUUUUAAAAUUCAAAAAAAGGAAAUUCCGAAAAAGAGGAGGAGAGCUAGCAGAUACGAAGAGGAGGAGAAGCAGAUAAAAAAAAAGAAG
rnacentral:lncRNA from 1 species